GCCCUAGUAGCUUAAAUCUAAAGCGCUGGUCUUGUAAGCCAGAAAUGAAACACACUCUCCUAGGACA
rnacentral:tRNA from 1 species